AGCUCCAAUAGCGUAUAUUAAAGUUGUUGCAGUUAAAAAGCUCGUAGUUGAAUUUCUGAUAGAAGGGAGCGGUUCCGCAUUCUUGCGGAUACUGGCUCGUCUUCCGUCAUCCUUGGGCUUAGUCUCGCUGAUAUUAACUUAUCGGCGUGGACGAUGCCCAUCGUUUACUGUGAGCAAAUUAGAGUGUUCAAAGCAGGGCAUUUUGCCAUUGAAUAUAUUAGCAUGGAAUAAUAAGAUAGGAUUUCACGAUUUUAUUUUGUUGGUUUGCGUUGUGAAAUAAUGAUUAAGAGGGACAGUUGUGGGUAUUCGUAUUCAGAUGUCAGAGGUGAAAUUCUUAGAUUAUCGGAAGACGAACGACUGCGAAAGCAUUUACCAAGGAUGUUUUCA
rnacentral:rRNA from 1 species